GCACGAACUGCGUGUCGUCCACGUAGCCGACUUCGAUGUAGCGCGGCUCCCCGCCGGGCCGGGACACGCCGUAUCUCGCCACAAUCUUACAAGUUCGUGAGGACCCCAGAGAUGCGUCUGUGCGUUCAGGUUAUGCCUGGUCCAAGUGCGCUGAGGUCACCUGAGUCUUGGCAGCUCCGCUGUGCCCUUUCAGAGCCAAGGUUGGUGCCUCCUCAGGGAGUUCGUGCUGCACCUGAACCUGAGGGUGGUUCCUCCUCCAGCAAUUGGACAGCCAGGGCUCCCGAGCCUGAAGACCCCCAGCAGAGGUGCUCCAGGCCAGGUUCGGCGGCUGGCAGAUUGUGAGCAUGGCUGCCUACUUUCGUGACUUCGCUAAACUGUGUUUCGAGGCCUUCGGGGACC